CCCUUAGAUGUCCUGGGCCGCACGCGUGCUACACUGACGCAUACAGCGAGUACUCCCGGCUCCGCAAUGGCAGCUGGUAAUCAUCAAUAUGCGUCGUGAUGGGGAUAGAUCUCUGGAAUUUUUGAUCUUGAACGAGGAAUGCCUAGUAAGCGCAGGUCAUCAGCCUGCGUUGAUUAAGUCCCUGCCCUUUGUACACACCGCCCGUCGCUACUACCGAUUGAAUGGCUUAGUGAGCCUUUGGGAUUGGCAGCCAACACCGGCAACGGUAGCUGGCCGCCGAAAACUUAUGCAAACUUGGUCAUUUAGAGGAAGUAAAAGUCGUAACA
rnacentral:rRNA from 1 species